AAGAAAACACCGGUCCAACGCCGGUGAGGAAAUGUAUGCACUGUGAGAUAACAAAGACACCACAGUGGAGGGCAGGCCCGAUGGGCCCGAAAACCCUCUGCAAUGCAUGUGGAGUUCGUUACAAGUCUGGGCGUUUGUUCCCCGAGUAUCGCCCCGCCGCUAGCCCGACCUUCGUCCCUGCCAUCCACUCCAAUUCCCAUAAGAAGGUGGUGGAGAUGAGAAUUCAGAGGCCCACUCCGGGAAUGCCCUCGCCGGAUAG
rnacentral:misc_RNA from 1 species